rnacentral:rRNA from 1 species
GACGAACGCUAGCUACAGGCUUAACACAUGCAAGUCGAGGGGUAACGAGAGGGAAGCUUGCUUUCCUUGUCGACGACCGGCGCACGGGUGAGUAACGCGUAUCCAACCUGCCCCCAACUAAGGAAUAACCUUGCGAAAGUAAGACUAAUACCUUAUAAUUUCCUCAGAUGACAUCUGACGAGGAAUAAAGAUUUAUCGGUUGUGGAUGGGGAUGCGUCUGAUUAGCUUGUUGGCGGGGUAACGGCCCACCAAGGCAACGAUCAGUAGGGGUUCUGAGAGGAAGGUCCCCCACAUUGGAACUGAGAAACGGUCCAAACUCCUACGGGAGGCAGCAGUGAGGAAUAUUGGUCAAUGGGCGGAAGCCUGAACCAGCCAAGUAGCGUUCAGGAUGACGGCCCUAUGGGUUGUAAACUGCUUUUAUACAGGAAUAAAGUUAGCCACGUGUGGUUAUUUGUAGGUACUGUAUGAAUAAGGACCGGCUAAUUCCGUGCCAGCCGCCGCCGUAA